GACGAACGCUGGCGGCGUGCUUAACACAUGCAAGUCGAACGAUGAAGCCUAGCUUGCUUGGUGUAUUAGUGGCGAACGGGUGAGUAAUACGUGAGUAACCUACCUUUAACUUUUGGAUAAGCCUUGGCAACGGGGUCUAAUACCUGAUACGACCAAUCUCCUCAUGGGGAGUUGGGGGGAAGUGUGAAGUAGUGGUGAUAGAUUGGCUCACGGGCGAUCAGCUUGGUGGUGGGGGAACGGUCCACCAAGGCGACGACGGGUUGGCGGCAUGAGAGGGUGACCGGCGACACUGCGACUGCGAGACGGAGCAGACUCCUACGGGAGGCAGCAGUGGCAAACAUUGCCCAACGGGAGCAAGUGUGUUGCAGCGACGCCGCGUGUGGGAUGCCGGCCUGUGGGUUGUAAACAUCUGUUGGCAGGGACGACGAGAUAUUGACGGUACCUAAAGAGAAAGCGCCGGCUAACUACGUG
rnacentral:rRNA from 1 species